rnacentral:rRNA from 1 species
GAUGAACGCCGGCGGUGUGCCUAAUACAUGCAAGUCGAACGCGUUGGUCCAAUUGAUUGAUGGUGCUUGCACCUGAUUGAUUUUGGUCGCCAACGAGUGGCGGACGGGUGAGUAACACGUAGGUAACCUGCCCAGAAGCGGGGGACAACAUUUGGAAACAGAUGCUAAUACCGCAUAACAACGUUGUUCGCAUGAACAACGCUUAAAAGAUGGCUUCUCGCUAUCACUUCUGGAUGGACCUGCGGUGCAUUAGCUUGUUGGUGGGGUAAUGGCCUACCAAGGCGAUGAUGCAUAGCCGAGUUGAGAGACUGAUCGGCCACAAUGGGACUGAGACACGGCCCAUACUCCUACGGGAGGCAGCAGUAGGGAAUCUUCCACAAUGGGCGCAAGCCUGAUGGAGCAACACCGCGUGAGUGAAGAAGGGUUUCGGCUCGUAAAGCUCUGUUGUUAAAGAAGAACACGUAUGAGAGUAACUGUUCAUACGUUGACGGUAUUUAACCAGAAAGUCACGGCUAACUACGUGCCAGCAGCCGCGGUAAUACGUAGGUGGCAAGCGUUAUCCGGAUUUAUUGGGGCGUAAAGAGAGUGCAGGCGGUUUUCUAAGUCUGAUGUGAAAGCCUUCGGCUUAACCGGAGAAGUGCAUCGGAAACUGGAUAACUUGAGUGCAGAAGAGGGUAGUGGAACUCCAUGUGUAGCGGUGGAAUGCGUAGAUAUAUGGAAGAACACCAGUGGCGAAGGCGGCUACUUGGUCUGCAACUGACGCUGAGACUCGAAAGCAUGGGUAGCGAACAGG